rnacentral:misc_RNA from 1 species
AGUAUUUUAUACUUUAACACUUGUGAACUGUAUGGGAUGGUUUAAUCUCCUCUCAAUUUAUUAUUACUAAGACUGAAUAUCACUUGAUAUAACAAUUAUAAAACUUUUAGCAACGGAUCUCUGGGCUCU